UCACUUUGAAAAAGACAUGCCAUUUGUGACUCAUAGGCUUCCAUGAGAGAUCAUUAUGACCUUGGACUUUUUCACUUGGUUAUUUAAUUAUUUUUGACCAGAAAUUUGAAGCCUGACUCUUCUCUGAAAUGCAGUCUGAGGGCACUUCUGUCAAAAAAUAUCAAACGCACACAGUAGACAACAGAGGGAUAGUGGCAUUUAAACUUGGCACCACCAUCAUUUCAAUAUGCCAUAGCAUCUCGAUCUUCCCAACUGAGUGAACCUCAGGAGAAUGAGGGAAGCUACAAAUUUAAGAAAGAUUCUAUUGGUAAAAUCUUUAAAAUGUUUAUGUGGUGUUUAUAAAUUACAUUUUUUUAAUGAUCUUUUGCAAAGAAUCAAAUAUAGGGGAGCCUCUGAGUUCUUUGAGUCUCCUUAAGACAGGACACCACAUAAGUUGUAUGCAACAUCAUUAUCAUACUAUAAUAUUAAAUAUAAUCAUGGAUUAGUGGCCUCACUAUAUGAGAAGUCCUCAAAUUGCUACAGGGAAAUUCUCCACACCUUUUGUUACUACCCCUGCGACCAUUUAUUCCUUGUGAAAUAGAAAUGAGGAAAAAGGUACAGUUUGCCCAAUACUGUUUCAGAGCUGAUACACUGUCUAAGGCAUACCUUAGCUUCCAGGGGUGCCUCGGGCCGGUGGUAAUACGAAGCAAUCUCCUCCCGACUGGAUAAGUAGCCUGAAAGAGUGGAAGGAAGAAGCCGGAAGUUUGCAUCUGGCAACUGACCACUAUGCCCUAGAGUCCAGAGGGCUUCCAGCUACCUUCUGCCCCUGCUUAGAGCACAGUUCUAUUCAGAUAAAAAAGAAGUCACACAGUAGCAAGUGGUGAUUUGGAGUUCCAGUAUCAUCAUGUGGCUCUACAUUUGACGACGCAAGUCUGCCUCUCCCUAAGGACAAGCACUCCUAUGAAGUAUCAGGAUCCUCAUGCAGCCAAUAAGGAAACUGAGGCAAAGCAGAGCAGAGGUCUCCUACACAGUCACACCUGUCCCAGGCUCAGAACAGGAUGCUGCUGGAAUAAACACUGGUGGGAGGCCCUAGGAUUUGGCCCACAGUGCU